rnacentral:rRNA from 1 species
UACGAAGGGGGCUAGCGUUGUUCGGAUUUACUGGGCGUAAAGCGCACGUAGGCGGAUCGUUAAGUCGGGGGUGAAAUCCUGGAGCUCAACUCCAGAACUGCCUUCGAUACUGGCGAUCUUGAGUCCGGAAGAGGUGAGUGGAACUCCUAGUGUAGAGGUGGAAUUCGUAAAUAUUAGGAAGAACACCAGUGGCGAAGGCGGCUCACUGGUCCGGUACUGACGCUGAGGUGCGAAAGCGUGGGGAGCAAACAGG